CCUACGGGGGGCAGCAGUGAGGAAUAUUGGUCAAUGGUCGGGAGACUGAACCAGCCAAGCCGCGUGAGGGAUGAAGGUACAGAGUAUCGUAAACCUCUUUUGUCAGGGCACAAAGGCGGGGACGUGUCCCCGGAUGCGUGUACCUGAAGAACAAGCAUCGGCUAACUCCGUGCCAGCAGCCGCGGUAAUACGGAGGAUGCGAGCGUUAUCCGGUUUUAUUGGGUUUAAGGGGUGCGCAGGCGGUCUGUUAAGUCAGCGGUCAAAGCCCGGGGCUCAACCCCGGCCCGCCGUUGAAACUGGAAGUCGCGAGUUGGAGAGAAGUAGGCGGAAUGCGCGGUGUAGCGGUGAAAUGCAGAGAUAUCGCGCAGAACUCCGAUUGCGAAGGCAGCAUGCCGGCUCCACACUGACGCUGAGGCACGAAAGCGUGGGUAUCGAACAGGAUUAGAUACCCUUGUAGUC
rnacentral:rRNA from 1 species